UGAUUAAGUGAGUUAUCUACGUGACCAGUGUUUCAGCUAUAAAAAGUCUGAUAUUUUCUGGUCAGGACACAGAAGCUUCUAGAGUCUUAACGAAACAAUAUUGGUUGUUACAGAUAAAAUACUAAAAUGUCAAAAACAUUUUUAUUGCUAUCAAUUCUAUUACUUGUCACAGUCUCAAAAGUUAUUUCUUAUGGAUGUGAAGGGUCAUGGUGUCAUCCAUCCCAAAGUUAUAACUGCUGCCAAUGGCAUACUUGUACGCAUUAUUUCACGCAGGGUACAUGCUAUCACUAAUAAAAAAUAAAUGAUUUCUGCAAUUAUUUAGUGAUGAAAAUGUACAUUUAUCCUGAAUAAAAAAAAAAUAUUAAACUA